UUUUCCGCCCCGCCCGGAAAGGGUGGAGCACAACGUCGAAAGCAGCCGUUGGGAGCCCAGGAGGCGGGGCGCCUGUGGGAGCCGUGGAGGGAACUUUCCCAGUCCCCGAGGCGGAUCCGGUGUUGCAUCCUUGGAGCGAGCUGAGAGCUCGAGAACCUGCUAAGGCCAUCAAACCUAUUGAUCGGAAGUCAGUCCAUCAGAUUUGCUCUGGGCCGGUGGUACCGAGUCUAAGCACUGCGGUGAAGGAGUUAGUAGAAAACAGUCUGGAUGCUGGUGCCACUAAUAUUGAUCUAAAGCUUAAGGACUAUGGAGUGGAUCUCAUUGAAGUUUCAGGCAAUGGAUGUGGGGUAGAAGAAGAAAACUUCGAAGGCUUAACUCUGAAACAUCACACAUCUAAGAUUCAAGAGUUUGCCGACCUACCUCAGGUUGAAACUUUUGGCUUUCGGGGGGAAGCUCUGAGCUCACUUUGUGCACUGAGUGAUGUCACCAUUUCUACCUGCCAUGUAUCGGCGAAGGUUGGGACUCGACUGGUGUUUGAUCACUAUGGGAAAAUCAUCCAGAAAACCCCCUACCCCCACCCCAGAGGGAUGACAGUCAGUGUGAAGCAGUUAUUUUCUACGCUACCUGUGCACCAUAAAGAAUUUCAAAGGAAUAUUAAGAAGGUACAGUAAAUUAAUCCUGGUUUUCAAGAAUAUUGGUUAAUGCACAUGAGCAAAAGAUUUACUAAAGAUGUUUAUUCUUCAGUUGAUUCCCUUCCCCUAAUUUAUUGAGAAAUGCUUUAUUUGCAUUUCUCAUUAAAGACUUAACUUCAGAAUGA
rnacentral:lncRNA from 1 species